rnacentral:rRNA from 1 species
GACGAACGCUGGCGGCGUGCUUAACACAUGCAAGUCGAACGAAGUGGCGAACGGGCGAGUAACGCGUAAUCAACCUGCCCUUCAGAGGGGGACAACAGUUGGAAACGACUGCUAAUACCGCAUUCUGUAGGAGGGGAUUGCGUCUGAUUAGCUGGUUGGAGGGGGAACGGCCCACCAAGGCGAUGAUCAGUAGCCGGUCGGAGAGGGUGAACGGCCACAAUGGGACUGAGACACGGCCCAAACUCCUACGGGAGGCAGCAGGGGUGAGUCUUCCGCAAUUGACUAAAAUCUGGCGGAGCAACGCCGCGUGAGGGAUGACGGCCUUCGGGUUGUAAAGCUCUGUUAAUCAGGACGCGGUACCGGAAUAGAAAGCCACGGCUAACUACGUGCCAGCCGCCGCGGUAAUAC